UUCUCCUUUUGUGUGUCUUUUAAACAAUUUCAUUGUAAUUUUUUUUCCUUUCAGGACUUUAAGAACUAAUGUAAAAAUGUAGGAAAAGUGGUGUCAAAACAAAAAGAAAGAAAAUGAAAAGCAUCUACAAUUUCCCCACAUAGAGAUUACAGGAGAACCAACUGGGUCUUGGCUGUCCAUCUUCUUGGCUUCUCUGUGAGUCUUCUAGAUCCUUUACAGCUAUGCAAAUAGGAGCUUUGGGCAACAGCACGUGGUUGGCAUCUGCUUUGGAAACAUUCCUGCAGCUGAAAGCAGACAGGACAUCUGUUGUGAAAGGUAGCCACAGAAAUGUGCUUUUCCCUUAGACUUGGGGCAGAGCUCAGAAACAAAGCAACAUUUAUUCUCAUCUGAGAGUGUUCCAUGUCAGACUUGUCCAUGGAAAUCAUGCUGUGUAUAGAGCAAAGGAGAGAGAGAGGAAAGGAGCUCCCAUUCUUUUAGUCACUGAAUGAGUUGGAUACAUCCAUAUGCCUCGUCUCAUCUAAUCUCCACAGCAUCCCUAAAAGGAAAUUUCUUAGGAAGCAAAUUACAGCAAUUUCAGAGCAAGCAAAAUCCCACCAACAAACCCAAGAAUCGAACUGCCAUGCCCCUGGGGAGAACGAAGCAGGGCCCACGUGGGAGCCCAGACUAG
rnacentral:lncRNA from 12 species